rnacentral:rRNA from 1 species
CCCUUAGAUGUCCUGGGCGGCCCGCGCGCUACAAUGUCAGCUACUGAAGGUUAAUGCUUUGAAAGAGAGCGCGCUCUCCUUUUAAUUGCUCGCAUGCUGGGAUAAAUGAAUGCAAUUUUGUUUUGAACGAGGAAUUCCUAGUAGCCAUGUUUCACUAGAAGAUGGCGAAUGCGUCCCUGCCCUUUGUACACACCGCCCGUCGCUCCUACCGAUGAGCGUUUUGGCGAAGACGGUUUGAGUAGCUGCGUAAUUUCGUGUCGUUGACUCCGGCAGUUUGAGCCUUCACGUUUAGAGGAAGGAGAAGUCGUAACA